rnacentral:pre_miRNA from 1 species
GAUGAGGCACUUCGAUUGGCUAGGGAUGAAUUGUUGGGAUACCUAGAUGUGAUUCGAAAUAGUCAUCCUGUUAAUUUAACGAACACCCAAGAGAUGGUGGACUUGAUUAAAAGGAUGUUGGAUGAGGCCAAUAAUUGACACAUAUUGGAUUUUAAUUUCACACUUGGGCUGAGUGAUUUUGAGUCAUC